rnacentral:rRNA from 1 species
CAUUGGCGGCGGCUAACACAUGCAGUCGAGCGGUAGCACAGAGAGCUUGCUCUCGGGUGACGAGCGGCGGACGGGUGAGUAAUGUCUGGGAAACUGCCUGAUGGAGGGGGAUAACUACUGGAAACGGUAGCUAAUACCGCAUAAUGUCGCAAGACCAAAGAGGGGGACCUUCGGGCCUCUUGCCAUCAGAUGUGCCCAGAUGGGAUUAGCUAGUAGGUGGGGUAACGGCUCACCUAGGCGACGAUCCCUAGCUGGUCUGAGAGGAUGACCAGCCACACUGGAACUGAGACACGGUCCAGACUCCUACGGGAGGCAGCAGUGGGGAAUAUUGCACAAUGGGCGCAAGCCUGAUGCAGCCAUGCCGCGUGUAUGAAGAAGGCCUUCGGGUUGUAAAGUACUUUCAGCGGGGAGGAAGGUGUUGAGGUUAAUAACCUCAGCAAUUGACGUUACCCGCAGAAGAAGCACCGGCUAACUCCGUGCCAGCAGCCGCGGUAAUACGGAGGGUGCAAGCGUUAAUCGGAAUUACUGGGCGUAAAGCGCACGCAGGCGGUCUGUCAAGUCGGAUGUGAAAUCCCCGGGCUCAACCUGGGAACUGCAUUCGAAACUGGCAGGCUAGAGUCUUGUAGAGGGGGGUAGAAUUCCAGGUGUAGCGGUGAAAUGCGUAGAGAUCUGGAGGAAUACCGGUGGCGAAGGCGGCCCCCUGGACAAAGACUGACGCUCAGGUGCGAAAGCGUGGGGAGCAAACAGGAUUAGAUACCCUGGUAGUCCACGCCGUAAACGAUGUCGACUUGGAGGUUGUGCCCUUGAGGCGUGGCUUCCGGAGCUAACGCGUUAAGUCGACCGCCUGGGGAGUACGGCCGCAAGGUUAAAACUCAAAUGAAUUGACGGGGGCCCGCACAAGCGGUGGAGCAUGUGGUUUAAUUCGAUGCAACGCGAAGAACCUUACCUACUCUUGACAUCCAGAGAACUUUCCAGAGAUGGAUUGGUGCCUUCGGGAACUCUGAGACAGGUGCUGCAUGGCUGUCGUCAGCUCGUGUUGUGAAAUGUUGGGUUAAGUCCCGCAACGAGCGCAACCCUUAUCCUUUGUUGCCAGCGGUCCGGCCGGGAACUCAAAGGAGACUGCCAGUGAUAAACUGGAGGAAGGUGGGGAUGACGUCAAGUCAUCAUGGCCCUUACGAGUAGGGCUACACACGUGCUACAAUGGCGCAUACAAAGAGAAGCGACCUCGCGAGAGCAAGCGGACCUCAUAAAGUGCGUCGUAGUCCGGAUUGGAGUCUGCAACUCGACUCCAUGAAGUCGGAAUCGCUAGUAAUCGUAGAUCAGAAUGCUACGGUGAAUACGUUCCCGGGCCUUGUACACACCGCCCGUCACACCAUGGGAGUGGGUUGCAAAAGAAGUAGGUAGCUUAACCUUCGGGAGGGCGCUACCACCUUGGAUUUCGGGGC